rnacentral:tRNA from 1 species
GAGGAGGUGGCUAAGUGGUUAAGGCGAUGGACUGCUGAUCCACUGUUUUCUGCGUGCAUGGGUUCCUAUCAUAUCCUAUCCA